CAGUAGCCGCGGGAAUACGGAGGGAGCUAGCGUUGUUCGGAAUUACUGGGCGUAAAGCGCGCGUAGGCGGUUACUCAAGUCAGAGGUGAAAGCCCGGGGCUCAACCCCGGAACUGCCUUUGAAACUAGGUGACUAGAAUCUUGGAGAGGUCAGUGGAAUUCCGAGUGUAGAGGUGAAAUUCGUAGAUAUUCGGAAGAACACCAGUGGCGAAGGCGACUGACUGGACAAGUAUUGACGCUGAGGUGCGAAAGCGUGGGGAGCAAACAGGAUUAGAUACCCCCGUAGUCCCUGUCUCUUAUAA
rnacentral:rRNA from 1 species